GUAUGGGGCGGAAAGGGAACCUGAUUGAUACCGGUCAUCCGGUGGUUAGUGGAGACGCCUUCUGGCAGUGUAGCCGCCCCUGUCUGCUCCGACGCGAGCGCCCCUGGUAGUACCUAGGCAGCACCCGUUUCGGAGGCAGGCACGCGCCGUUUGAGAGCCCGCGGUCUGGCGCGGUAGUGACCUGCGACCAGCCCAGCGGAGCCUCCAACGGUGGGCGACCACACUUACCGUCUUGCACUUUGGGAGGGGGAAAGGGUUAAAUUUACACUGUUACACACGAGCACAUUGUUUAGUUUUGUUUCUUUAUUCUGGUAUUUCAUAUUUUUUUCCUUGUCUUUUCCCUGUCUUACCGCCGUAUGUACUUAAAUUUCCUAUGUCCCUACCUACGUCGCACCAAACUAAGUCGUAAUAGAAAAAGGGUGAGGCCCACAGCCUCGCUUACCCGAUCCUCUCGAGCCUAUCGGUCCUUUUGUCUCCUCGCCUGGCGCUCGGUGUCUUGAGCCUCUCGUGGGCACGUGGUCUUGAGCCUCUCUUGGGCACGUGGUCGUGAGCCUCUCGUGGGCAACGUUGGGGUUAUGGCGCACUUUUUACCCGUUUCACUUUUGUCGCCGCAGCGAUCUCGACUGGUCCUCCCGGUGUUCGAAACAUUUCUCCCCGAGGCGAGCUCUGCGUGGCGAUCGCCAGCCCUUAGCUGCGGUCCCUUGUCCGGGCUGCGCUGCCCACGCCCGUGGCUCUCGGGCUGCUGCCGGCGCCCUUGCUCUCUCGUUCUGCUGCUCUGCUGCUGGCCGCUCUCGGGCUGCUGUCUCACUUCGUCGUUCUCUUUGGCUCUGCUGCUGUUGGUUCGCGUCGCCGUUCUCUUUGCUCUGCUGUUGGCUACUGUGGGCCGCGAACUUAAAUUAUGACUUCAAAAUUUCACCUUAUAAUAUAACUUAGAAACUAAUAAUGGAAAAUUAUAAACUUAAUAAUAAAGACUUC
rnacentral:lncRNA from 1 species